rnacentral:rRNA from 1 species
AAUAUUGUAAGUAUAUAAUAAUUACGAAAGCAAAAAAUUAUGGCGGUAUUUUAAGCUUUUCAGAGGAAUUUGCUCUUUAAUGGAUAAAACACCUAAAUCUUACUUAAAUUUGUCAAAUCAACUUGUAUACCACUAUUAAAACAAUUAUUAACUCUAAUUGUUAAUAUUUAAAACAUAAAUUAAUUUAAAUUAAGUCAAGGUGCAGUAAAAAUUUAAGAAUGAAGUGAAUUACAUUACUUUUAAGAGAAAUAAAAUUAAAUAAAAUUUAGGAUUUGAAAGUAAAAUUAAAAUAGAAUGUUAAUUUGAAUU